rnacentral:tRNA from 1 species
GUCCCCGUAGAACCAACCUCCACCAGGACUCCUUAAAGCGGGUGUCGCAGGUUCGAAUCCUGCCGGGGGCACCA